rnacentral:rRNA from 1 species
GACGAACGCUGGCGGCGUGCUUAACACAUGCAAGUCGAGCGAGGCCCCUCCUUCGGGAGGGUGUCCUAGCGGCGAACGGGUGAGUAACACGUGGGCAACCUGCCCUCAGCUCUGGGAUAACUCCGGGAAACCGGGGCUAAUACCGGAUACGACCUCCACGGGCAUCUGCGGAGGUGGAAAGUUUUUCGGCUGAGGAUGGGCCCGCGGCCUAUCAGCUAGUUGGUGGGGUAGUGGCCCACCAAGGCGACGACGGGUAGCCGGCCUGAGAGGGCGACCGGCCACACUGGGACUGAGACACGGCCCAGACUCCUACGGGAGGCAGCAGUGGGGAAUAUUGCGCAAUGGGCGAAAGCCUGACGCAGCGACGCCGCGUGAGGGACGAAGGCCUUCGGGUUGUAAACCUCUUUCAGUAGGGACGAAGCGAAAGUGACGGUACCUGCAGAAGAAGCACCGGCCAACUACGUG